rnacentral:sRNA from 1 species
GGCGAACAGUUCUACAUGUUUUGUACUCUUGCUGCUUGGUUGAUUAAUAAAGCGGGACAUCCCUUUGAGCAGCCUCAAGAAUAUGAUGACCCUAAUGCAACAAUAUCUAACAUACUAUCCGAGCUUCGGUCAUUUGGGAGAACUGCAGAUUUUCCUCCUUCAAAAUUAAAGUCAGGUUAUGGAGAACAUGUAUGCUAUGUUCUUGAUUGCUUAGCUGAAGAAGCAUUGAAAUAUAUUGGUUUCACCUGGAAAAGGUAAAAAUUACCCAACCUGAUAAUAGUAAUUUUAUGGGCAUAGCAUUUGCCUCUGAGGGUACAGAGCUGUUUAAUUGAACAUAAAAGAAUUAUUUCCUUUUGACUAUUCUAAAUUGAAAAUGCCACAGAUAAUUAAGAAAAGC